rnacentral:rRNA from 1 species
UACGAAGGGGGCUAGCGUUGCUCGGAAUCACUGGGCGUAAAGCGCACGUAGGCGGAUUGCUAAGUCAGGGGUGAAAUCCUGGAGCUCAACUCCAGAACUGCCUUUGAUACUGGCGAUCUUGAGUCCGGGAGAGGUGAGUGGAACUGCGAGUGUAGAGGUGAGAUUCGUAGAUAUUCGCAAGAACACCAGUGGCGAAGGCGGCUCACUGGCCCGGUACUGACGCUGAGGUGCGAAAGCGUGGGGAGCAAACAGG